CCUACGGGAGGCAGCAGUGGGGAAUAUUGGGCAAUGGAGGAAACUCUGACCCAGCGACGCCGCGUGCGGGAUGAGGGCCUUCGGGUUGUAAACCGCUUUCAGCAGGGAAGAAGCGAAAGUGACGGUACCUGCAGAAGAAGCACCGGCUAACUAUGUGUCAGCAGCCGCGGUAAUACAUAGGGUGCAAGCGUUGUCCGGAAUUAUUGGGCGUAAAGAGCUCGUAGGUGGUUCGUCACGUCGGAUGUGAAAAUCUGGGGCUUAACCCCAGACCUGCAUUCGAUACGGGCGAGCUUGAGUAUGGUGGGGGAGUCUGGAAUUCCUGGUGUAGCGGUGGAAUGCGCAGAUAUCAGGAGGAACACCAAUGGCGAAGGCAGGACUCUGGGCCAUUACUGACACUGAGGAGCGAAAGCGUGGGGAGCGAACAGGAUUAGAUACCCUGGUAGUCCACGCCGUAAACGGUGGGCACUAGUUGUGGGGACCUUCCACGGUCUCUGCGACGCAGCUAACGCAUUAAGUGCCCCGCCUGGGGAGACGAGCGCGAGAGUAAACUACAAUUAGAGUAGUUACGGCGUGAGACGNGCCGACGGACGACGACGAGGGAGGAGG
rnacentral:rRNA from 1 species